GAGUUUGAUCGUGGCUCAGGACGAACGCUGGCGGCGUGCUUAACACACGCAAGUCGAACGGUGACCUCGGAGCUUGCUCCGGGUGAUCAGUGGCGAACGGGUGAGUAACACGUGAGCAACCUGCCCCCGACUCUGGGAUAACCCCGGGAAAUCGGAGCUAAUACCGGAUACGAGACGCACAGGCAUCUGUUGCGUCUGGAAAGAAUUUCGGUCGGGGAUGGGCUCGCGGCCUAUCAGCUAGUUGGUGGGGUAGUGGCCUACCAAGGCGACGACGGGUAGCCGGCCUGAGAGGGCGACCGGCCACACUGGGACUGAGACACGGCCCAGACUCCUACGGGAGGCAGCAGUGGGGAAUAUUGCACAAUGGGCGCAAGCCUGAUGCAGCGACGCCGCGUGAGGGAUGACGGCCUC
rnacentral:rRNA from 1 species